rnacentral:rRNA from 1 species
GACGGUAAGGUAUUGGCUUACCGUGGCAGUGACGGUUAACGGGGAAUUAGGGUUCAAUUCCGGAGAGGGAGCCUGAGAAACGGCUACCACAUCUAAGGAAGGCAGCAGGCGCGCAAAUUACCCAAUUCUAACAGCAUAAGAGAGGUAGUGACAAGAAAUAACAGUACAAGGCAGUUAAAAUGCUUUGUAAUUGGAAUGAUAGAAAUUUAAAUACUUUUUAAAGUAUCAAUUGGAGGGCAAGUCUGGUGCCAGCAGCCGCGGUAAUUCCAGCUCCAAUAGCGUAUAUUAAAAUUGUUGCAGUUAAAAAGCUCGUAGUUGAAUUUUUGCUAAAAAUAACCGGUCUGCUUUUAUUAAUAAAAGUGGUAUCUUGGUGUGUUUUUAGCAAUAAUGUCCUUUGAAAUGUUUUUUACUUUAUUGUAAAAAGCAAUUUUCAGGAUUUUUACUUUGAGAAAAUUAGAGUGUUUCAAGCAGGCUAACGUUUUGAAUACUGCAGCAUGGAAUAAUAAAAUAGGAUUUUAGUUCUACGUUAUUGGUUUUAAGAACUAAAUUAAUGAUUGAUAGGAG